rnacentral:rRNA from 1 species
AUUGAACGCUGGCGGCAUGCCUUACACAUGCAAGUCGAACGGUAACGGGCCUUCGGGUGCCGACGAGUGGCGAACGGGUGAGUAAUGUAUCGGAACGUACCUUUCAGUGGGGGAUAACGUAGCGAAAGUUACGCUAAUACCGCAUAUUCUGUGAGCAGGAAAGCAGGGGAUCGCAAGACCUUGCGCUGAUUGAGCGGCCGAUAUCAGAUUAGCUAGUUGGUGAGGUAAAGGCUCACCAAGGCAACGAUCCGUAGCGGGUCUGAGAGGAUGAUCCGCCACACUGGGACUGAGACACGGCCCAGACUCCUACGGGAGGCAGCAGUGGGGAAUUUUGGACAAUGGGCGAAAGCCUGAUCCAGCCAUGCCGCGUGCAGGAUGAAGGCCUUCGGGUUGUAAACUGCUUUUGUACGGAACGAAAAGACUCCUUCUAAUAAAGGGGGUCCAUGACGGUACCGUAAGAAUAAGCACCGGCUAACUACGUG